rnacentral:rRNA from 1 species
GAUCAUUAUUGAAAAUAAACCUGAUCAGUUGAUGCUGGCUCCCUAGGGAGCAUGUGCACACUUGUCAUCUUUAUAUCUCCACCUGUGAACCUUUUGUAGACCUGGAUAUCUUUCUGAAUGCCCCUGGCAUUUGGGUUCGAGGAUUGAUUUUUCUUUCCUUACGUUUUCAGGUCUAUGUUUUUUCAUAUACCCCCAUGCAUGUCUAUAGAAUGUAAUAAGCAGGCCUUUGUGCCUAUAAACUUAUACAACUUUCAGCAACGGAUCUCUUGGCUCUCGCAUCGAUGAAGAACGCAGCGAAAUGCGAUAAGUAAUGUGAAUUGCAGAAUUCAGUGAAUCAUCGAAUCUUUGAACGCACCUUGCGCUCCUUGGUAUUCCGAGGAGCAUGCCUGUUUGAGUGUCAUUAAUAUAUCAACCUCUUCAGCUUUUUCUGCAUGUCGAGUGUUGGACAUUGGGGGGUAUUUUUUUUUGCUGGACUCUAGAGCCUCUUGAGGUCAGCUCCCCUAAAAUACAUUAGCAAAACAAUUUGUUUACCGCUCAUUGGUGUGAUAAUUAUCUACGCUAUUGACGGUAAAGCACGGUUUAGCUUCUAACAGUCCAUUUACUUGGACAAACCUUUUAUUAAUGUGACCUCAAAUCAGGUAGGAUUACCCGCUGAACUUAAGCAUAUCAAUAAGCGGAGGAAAAGAAA